AAUCGAAAUGGAGAGAAUAAAGCUAAAUAUUCUUUGUUGGUUACUCAUCGUUCUCUUUUCUUCGCAAAUUCCAUCGAGAUUGGCUCUUGGAAACGCAGCGAUUGAACGUUCAAAAAGCCUAGCUCUAGUCCAAGAAUCUCGCGGGUUAGAGACAAUAACUUGGAAUAGCAACCAGGAAUCCAUGAAACAUGAUAUGAUGUCUAUUGCUAAGGGGCAAAAAGGGGGGAGAGGAAGCGGAGGUGGAUCGAUAAAUCAUACUCCUCGUAAGAAUUACGCAUCGACUAAAGUCUGUCAUCAUAUGAUAAUAUCUGUUAUGGGUGUUACUUUAUGUAUUCUUGGACUUAUGGUAUCAUAAAUAGCUUUUUUAUUACCAGUUCUUUUUGGGUUUGCUUGUUUUAGAACAUCUAUUGUAUCAUCAGCUAUGGUGAGGUUGAUGUUUUUCCGUACGAGUCCUUUGUGUUAUAGGAACUGUGUGACGUGUGUUUUCUAUUUUGUUCCUUUCUGUUCCGUUUGCAAGCAUAUUGUAUUACAUUGUUGGUUGCGCCU